CCUUAACUUCACUUUUUAGUAACCUUUAAUCCUUAAACUUCCAAAAGUAUAUAUAUAUAAAUUCCAAACUUUUAAAUAUAUCCAAUUUAACCUUUAUAUUUCGCCAAUUGCAAAAAUAACCCAAAUAAAAUAUUUAAUUUCAUUUUAGUCCUUGAUUGACUUUGACUUUGACUAGUCAAUAUUUGAAUUUUUGACUAUAAAAUUUGGAUUGUCACAGAUGGGGUCGACUGUUCCGACCACCAUGAGUUUCUUGCUCUUCAAAUCUAUUGCGAUUUCAUCAAUUCCUACAAAAAGGGCACAAAAAUGUCGGAGUAAAAGCUGUAGUACCGUUUUAUUUAUUUCACAUACUCCUUUUGUUCACUUAUGUCCAUCAAGUGUGAUAAUGCAAAUCGAGCAAUAAAAGCAACAUUUCUUUAUAAGAAUUUACAUGGGAGUCAAUUAUAAUUCCAUAGAAAUAAAGAAAUUUAAUGAAGUCUUAAAAUCUGUACAUAAUGCACCAAGAAACACCCCCAUAUUGUUGUAAAUCUAUAAUGAAUUGUUGUUUUGAAUCAUUGAAAUAUUGUAUUAUAUCGGCACGAAGAGUGUUUCGACUUACUUAACGUACCUUGGUUGCAAAUAUUAUUUCACGUAGGAGACGAAGUAUUGUUUGUUGACAAUAGCCAGAGGCAACUUAUAGACGGCAAAAAAUUUCACUAUUUCGAUUCGAGCUUUCUCAUCCAAAUACACCCAUGUGGAUAGGGAUGAAGUUGUAUAACCAGCACCUGAACUGUCAAAUUGUAAUUGUGUUUGACCAGAUGGAAGAAGUCUAUGUCUGGCCGCACAUGCUUUGUAGUGGCGGUUGAGAUGGGUAGUACAAAUUCCUUUUUACCAUGUCAAUCUUUAUUAGCAGUAUAAAUACUGUCUUAGAUUCUGCCAGGCCAUUGAUUACUUUUUCCAUUAAAAUCAACUUAAAGUGAUUCCAGCAUUUUGCUUUUUUUUUUUCUCUUUUCACUUUUCCCUAGCAUCUGGGAUGUUU
rnacentral:lncRNA from 1 species